rnacentral:lncRNA from 1 species
UUUGAAUUUAUUAGAAGGGAACUAGGCAUGUUAAAUUGUCCCUGAAAAUAAGCUUGUUUGAAUAUAUUUUUCAAAAAAUGUCUCAUCCUUUUCCGUUCUUCUAUGAAUUUGACUUCAUCACUCUCCUUCGAUUCAAGAUGAUAUACUGAAGUACAACUCAUUAUCUUAACCUAUCUUGAGUCAAACACCUUAAAAAAAAAAAAAAAAAAAAAAAUAAAAUAAAAUCAACAUAGCACACCAGUGGUGGCACCGCCAGAACCGGCGAUAGCACCGCCUGAGCGCUCGGGCGCCAGGCGGUGGCACCGCUCGGUUUGGCGGUGGCACCGCCCGAGACACCCUAUAAAUCC